ACACUGUGAGAUGCCGAGGGCGUAAUUGACUGCCGAGUGCCGUUUGCCGAAUAUCGAAACUCGAAACAAGAAUCUCAGAGACCCCGCCUUUGAAAUUCUGUGGAUAAAAUUAACUUCGAUUUUUCGAAAUGAUCAAUUCAUAGAAGGUUAUAAAAUAUAAUAGGUAGGUAGGUAAUAACCAAGUAAAAACAUAAAGUAUAUAAGUUAUCCUUGCUAUUUUGUUCAGUGCUCAUUUCGAUUUCUGUAAGUGUAGUACCUGUAUCAAAUGUUUUUGUGAUGUGAAAGUGCUGAUAAAAUACAUUUAGGGUGCAGGGUUUAAAUGAGUUUAUUAAUUUAGAAUUUGAGCCUCAUAGUUAAUCUCGCAUUAUAACGGUCCGGUACUUGUGUGAUUGUUACUAUUUUUAGUGGGUGUUGUCAUUGUAGGGAGUUCGGAUUAGGUCAUCGAAAGCCGCGAACAUGUGUACUGAAGCCCAAAAUGUUUAAGUGUUAAAUAAAGGAUUUUUCUUAUUAGAUCUGUAAGAGAGGAGGACCGUAGUAAAAAUGGAUAAAAGAGUGAUUUGUUUCUUCGCGAUACUUUCGCAAGCCGCAGCACUAUUGACGUCACCGCCGCGGAUCGUGAAGCAGCCCACGGUGGAGGAGCUGCUGUUCCAGGUGGCGCAGCCGGGCGAGGUGGACAAGCCCUUCAUCAUCGAGUGCGAAGCCGAGGGGGAGCCGGCACCCAAAUACAGAUGGAUCAAAAACGGAAAGCCGUUCGAGUAUACGAGCUACGACAACCGAAUCUCACAGCAGCCCGGACGUGGCACGUUGGUGGUGAGCAGACCGCGAGAUGAAGACCUGGGACAGUACCAGUGCUUCGCUUAUAACGAGUGGGGGACUGCCACCUCUAACUCCGUGUUCGUCCGCAAAGCUGAACUCAACUCGUUCAAGGACACCGACGGUCCGCAAACAAUGAUCACAGCGCAAGAAGGACUGCCUUUCAAACUGACAUGCAAUCCCCCCGACGGUCAUCCCAGUCCCAAUGUAUACUGGAUGCUACAAGGCGAACAAGGGCAGCUAAAGACAAUCAACAAUUCCCGAAUGACCCUAGAUCCCGAAGGAAACUUGUGGUUUUCUAAUGUAACCCGCUACGAUGCUAGCGUCGAUUACGCCUACACUUGCGCAGCGAAAUCCGUGUUCAGAAAUGAAUACAAGUUGGGUAACAAGGUGUACCUUCAAGUGCAGCAGACGGGAAUAUCACCGACAUCGAACAAACAGGAGCCUGAGCGUCAGUAUACGACAAGGAGGGUUGAGAAAGCAUGGCGAGGAAAGAAAGUUGAACUCUACUGUAUAUAUGGCGGAACGCCACUGCCUCAAGUGGUGUGGAAGAAAGACGGUCGAACGAUUCUUUCGUCUCAGCGGAUCACGCAGGACAAUUACGGCAAGACGCUGGUGGUGAAGCGAGCCGGAUACGAGGACCAGGGCACCUACACGUGCGAGGUCAGCAACGGAGUGGGCCAGGCGCAGUCCUACUCCAUACAGCUCAACGUUGAAGCGGCGCCGUUCUUCAUCGAGGAGCCGCAGUUCCAGAACCUGGCGGAAGGCGAACAGGCCGUGAUCCGGUGUCGAGCUGGAGGCACGCCCGAGCCCCUCAUCCAGUGGGUACACAAUGGCAAGCCCAUCGAGCAGGCGGAGCCCAACCCUCGACGCCAGGUGUCCGCCGACUCCAUCGUCAUCAGCGACCUGAUCAAGAAGGACACGGGCAACUACGGCUGCAACGCAACCAACUCCAACGGCUACGUCUACAAGGACAUCUACAUCAACGUGCAAUCUAUCCCUCCAGAGAUCAAGGAAGGGCCGGAGAACCUGACAAAGGUGGACGGAUCCGAGGCUGUACUCAAGUGCCGCGUGUUUGGUGCUCCCAAGCCUGUCGUCAAGUGGAUGCGAGACGAUGUGGACGUCACGGGUGGCAAAUACAACAUCACGCCGGAAGGUGACCUGGUGAUUCCAGAUGUGUCGUACACUGACGUGGGCACCUACCAGUGCUACGCCAAGAACAAAUUCGGAGAGAAGUCCGCUUACGGCUCGCUCCUCGUCAAAAAGCGCACCAUAAUCACCGACAAGCCGGAAAACUACGAGGUAGCGGCUGGCACUUCGGCCACGUUCCGUUGUAACGCGCACGCCGACGACUCCCUGAACCUGCAGAUCGUGUGGCUCAGUGAUGGCCAGCCUCUCGACUUGGACACUCAGCCACGCUUCCGGCUCAACAACGACUACUCGUUGCUCAUCUCCGACACCAGCGAGCUGGACUCGGGAGAGUACACGUGCGUCGCGCGCACGGAGAUCGACGAGGCGCGUGCGCAGGCCACACUCACCGUGCAAGACAAGCCAAAUCCGCCCGCACUGGAUGGUAUCGAAUGUCACGAGAAGCUAGCGACCCUGCGCUGGCACUCGAUGGGUGACAACCGAGCACCUAUCCUACGCUACUCCAUCCAGUACAACACUACCUUCACGCCCGACACUUGGGAGGUGGCCAGCGACAAUGUUCCCGCCAUCGACACCUCCUGGACCGUUGAGCUGAGUCCCUGGGCCAACUACACCUUCCGUGUCAUCGCGUUCAAUAAAAUAGGAGCCUCCACGCCCUCCUCACAUUCCGACGUGUGCACCACGCAGCCCGAUGUGCCAUAUAAAAACCCUGACAAUGUUGAAGGCAAGGGCCGGGACCCCACUAACAUGGUCAUAACGUGGUCGAAAAUGCCACAAAUAGAGCACAACGGCCCCGGUUUCUACUACCUGGUGUCGUGGCGACGCAACAUAAGCGGCGCGGCAUGGAGUGAGCAGCAAGUGCGGGACUGGAACCAGAACGAGUUGGUGGUCACCAACACGCCCACCUUCCAGCCCUACAAGAUCAAGGUCGUAGCCGUAAACUCUAAAGGUACAUCAAAUGUAGCUCCUGUCGAAGUAAUUGGUUGGUCCGGCGAAGACACGCCUCAGCAGCCGCCCGCUAACUUCUCUCUUGUCCAAGUCACCUCUGGAACGACUGCACUGUUAUCAUGGAAUCCAGUCAGUCCUGAAUCUGUCAGAGGACAUUUUAAAGGCUACAAGAUACAAACCUGGGUGGAUGGAGACGAAGACAGACUCAAAGAAGUGUUAGUAAAAGCAGACGCAUCAAACACACUAGUAUCUGUAUUCAAACCGUUUAAGAAAAACAACGCGCGAAUUCUAGUGUACAAUGGAAGAUACAACGGGCCACCGAGCGAAACACUCAGCUUUGUUACACCUGAAGGCAAACCCGGAACUGUAAAGUCUUUUGAAGCUUAUCCAAUUGGCUCUUCGGCAAUGCUACUCAAGUGGGAUAAACCAAUGGAUGAAAACGGUGUUCUAACCGGAUAUAAAAUAUACUACCAAAAAGUUUCUGGAACAGCUUUAGGACCAUUACAGGAGAGAAAAAAGGAAAUUGACCCUAAAUUUGACCGUGCUAAGCUGGCGGGCUUGGAGCCUAAUACUAAAUAUAGGAUUGAGAUUCGCGCUAAAACUAAAGCUGGAGAGGGAGACAAGUAUUAUGUGGAGCAGAAAACCAAAGCUAUGGUGAACUCGGUGCCGGAUAUCCCCGUGUUCCAAGUGAGCACCUUACCUGCGAAGGAGGGCUCGGCUCAUAUACUUGUGCGGUGGCUGCCUUCUCUCGACGGACACGCUGGCAGCCAUUUCAUGGCUUGGUACAGACUGAAGGGUCAUCCGGACUGGCUGCACAGUCACGAAAUAACGGAAGACGACUAUGUGGUGCUGACGGGGCUGGAGCCGGGCCAGGUGUAUGAGGUGAAGGUGACGGCUCACGACGGAGAGUACUUCAGUACCAGCGAGGUGCGCGACGUGGAUACCACCACGGACCCGGUGAUCAUGCGCGAGGAGGCGAUGGCGACGGCGGGCUGGUUCAUCGGAGUGAUGGUGGCCCUGGCGCUGCUCCUCCUGGUGUUGGUGCUGGUGUGUGUGGUGCGACGCAACCGCGGCGGCAAGUACGACGUGCACGACCGCGAGCUGGCACACGGCCGCCGGGAUACACCUGACGCACGCGGCGGCUUCCACGAGUACACGCACCCAUUGGACAACAAGUCUCGACACUCCAUGAGCAGCGGAACUAAACCUGGCGCUGAGAGUGAAACUGAUUCCAUGGCUGAGUACGGCGAGGGUGAAACAGCGGGCAUGAACGAAGACGGCUCCUUCAUCGGGCAGUACGGUCGCAAGCGCCGACCUCCUGCAUCCAGCCACCAGGACUCGGCCUCGCAAGCCUUCGCCACGCUCGUCUAGACAUCACCACUCCCACCAUCCAAACUAUCCACCCACUUAAACUCCGGCUUUUUAAAUUAAUGAACGAUCUUGAUCAUUGAUUAUCUCUUGACAAAUAAUUGUAUAUUACGCAGCUAGGGAGAAAAGUAGAUCAAUUUCACUCGCGGUGACAAUAUCCUACUUAUACGUAUACGAUUUUUUUCCCCACCUGGAUGAAAAGGUCGCUUUUAGUCCCUGGUACGAGGGACAAAAGUCGUCUACUUUUGUCCCUUUUGAGCUUUCAUCAAGGUGGGAUAAAAUAAUUAUUUACGGCCUUUUUAAAUAAAAAUUGACUUAUCUUUACAAGUUUGGCGACAGGUCGCAAUUUGUCAAUGCUAUACGAAUUAUAUUUAGACAAGAAUCAUAAGUGAUUUCUUGCAUUGGUUUAACCAAUCUGAUUGCAUUGAUUUAAUCAAUCUGAUUGCAUUGAUUUAAUCAAAAUCAUUUGUAAUUUUAACAAUGAAAAUGCUACUAUAUCUCUUCAAUUGGUUGUGUUGCAGAAUCUCUAUGCCCGUUACAGUUUUCAUGGCGAUUUGAGUCUGUAUACUAUUUCAUAAAUAGUUUUCCUAGACUUAAGUUUUCGCCUCUGGUGGGUAAUUAAAAAAAAAUAAGUAAUAUUAAGUACACAAUUCUAAGUAUAAAUUAGUACGUAUAAAAGAUUUAAUUAAUAAUGAGUGAGUUAAUGUGAAUGUUUCUUUAUAUAAAGUUUUAUUUUAUCACGAUUUUGUGUUGAGUUUGCAUUUAUACAUUAGUUAGAGUAGGAUAGAUAGAUUUAUUUCCUUAUCCGUCCUUGACCUACCCCAGUUGCCUGCGCUACAUUUGUUUAUUCUUUUGUGAGGUCGCUUCACGGAGGACGGCUCGUUCAUCGGUCAGUACGUGCCGGGCGCGCGCGUGCUGCCUCCUCCCCCCGCGCCGCCGGCCCCGCCCACUGACACGCCUCCAGUCUACGUGUAACGCGUUACACUAGAUAAUGCGUCAUUUACACUUUCUAUAAAACAAGUUUAACAAUUCAAUUUUAUGAACACCGAAGCUAUGGUAUCAAACUCAACUUUACCAAUAAGUUACACUAAGGCUGGGUUUCACCAUAUUAGCUGUUAUAGUUAAUAUUUAAGUCAAAUUUAACUUCAACAUAGACUGCGGAAUGUGUUGUACCAACGUAUUCCUUAGCAUAGUUGGACUUAAUUCCAGGAAAACGUUUUAAGCCACAAUCAUGUCGAAAUUGAGUUAAGAACACAAAGCUGGUCAAGUGAUUCAUAUUAAUGGACUGACAAAAAAUGGCAGCCCUGCUAUCACUCUUUAAAUGACAUCAUGACUUAGUAGCCCAACCCACAUGUAUGGAAUACACUAAUAUUUAUUAAACUUUAAACGUGUUUAAUCACAUCAUAUUUUAAGGAGUUCGUAAAUUCCUUAAAAUGUGAUGUUUGUUGCUUGCAACGUUUUUUUACGAACUAAGUCCAGUUAAAGUUGAAAACUGAAAUAUUAAAUCAAUAUCGAACACUUAUUUAAAACUUUGGUCGCUAUUUAACAACGUUUACGGUUAACAGUUAAGAGUUAUGACGUCAUCUAAAAAUUGUCAAAUGGUGCAACACAUCUUUUGCUUAACCAGUAGCUGAACAUGUUUGUCAUGGCUAAAGUUAGUUGGUGAAACCCAGCCUUAGUGUCAUCACAGUUCGGACAACACAGUUCGCUGUACUACAUCUUGAGCAGUGUUUGACACACAAUUUGCAAUUUGUUAUAUGGAUUUUAUCCGUAUUAAGAAAUAACUUUUUGAAUUUCGAUUUAUGCUAAAUAUGCAAGCUUCAUUGUUUCUUAACAGAGUAAUGAAAAAAGAAAUAGAUGUUGUCAUGGCGGCUUUUGUGUGACACGUCAGUUGUUAUAAAUAGUGGCUCUUUUAAUGUGAACUAAUUUCAUAUUUUGCUUGACAACUAUUGACUCUUGCAAAGAAUCUCAUAAGAAUUGCGAAUGUUUUCUUUAUUAAUUGUAAUCUAUAUUAAAUACAAACUAUUGUAAUAAUAACGUGAGAGUUGAACAAUUCACACAAGAUAUAUCAACGAUGCACGUUACUCGAACGGUUGGCUCAGUUGGAAGAGCGUUCGCAUCGUUCAUAAAAUUUGUUUUCAAAUUAUAUUUGUAAUAAUAAUUUCGUAUAGUUAUCACAGUUCACUAUCAAAUAUCUGUCGGUAGAGUCUCAAUGAAUUUUGUUUAAAUUAUGUGUACUUUCGUUCUGAGAGCCUUUCAUCUCAUAGUUUUCCCAACGAUCAAUGUUUGUGUUUAUAUGAGACUGAUUUUAAGUAAUACCUACUGUUGUAACUGUCACUAAAUACCCCUGUGUCCUCUCACAUCCGUAGCUUUGAAAUUGUCUUAAAAAUACCUUCUAAGUAGCUAGCAAUCUAAAUGUUUCGUAGAUCUGUCACACUAAACACAUCUCAAAUUAACGCCAAUAUUGUGUCAUGUCUACGAAACGCUUAGACAUAGGUGUAGUUGUAUACAUUUAAAAGACGGUUGCGCGAACUGUCUGUAAUGAUCCGGUUUGUGUAGGAGCUAUCCAGACGGGAGUUGGAGCUAUUUUUGUCAAGUAUUGACGUCUUGGUUAACUGCUCGCGAAAAUAACACACGAUGCGAUAUGUCAAUUGAUCUAGGAGUAUAGACACCGGAUUUGGUACAGCUGGACUAUCGAACAGUCCUGUGAGCGCCUCGCACCAAUUGGUCUGGCGUCGUACUCGUUAAGGUCGGUCUGCGAUACACCAUCAAAUAUGGGCCACUAUCGGCAGCUAAGGUGGGCAACGCUUUUCUUGACACCUGUUGUUGCGACUGUCCAUGAGCGGUUGCCUCACCUCUCCCAAUCCCGUGAGCCUCGUGACCGUUUCCCCCUCCUAUAUUAAAAGAAAACUACCAGGCAGCGUUCGAUGGUUCGGCCGUACCAAAUUCGAUCAUGUGUUUAGGCUAUUACAACAUUUAGGUCGGCCAGACAUUGAUUUUUUUCGUUGAAUAUAUGCUUCAAUCGGUUCUGCGGUAUCUUUAAAACGGAUUAACGUUCUAGAUUCACUCUAUUCUAUUCGAACGACAGUCAUACAGAAUUCCUAUUAUUUUUUAAAUCGGAAAAAUGUAACCGGAAUACGUAUAUUAGGUUCGUAUACCUUAGCCCUUUAAAUUAUAAAAAAAAUACAUUGAUACUUAUUUUUAUAUUUGGAUAUGUACAAACAACAAUUCGAAGGGAAUUGAUUUUAUUUUUCAAACAAAAUAAUAUUCUUCUAUAACACAUUGACCAAGCUGCGAAUAUCAUUUAGAGCUAGUUUUGAAGAAAUAAAGAAAUCAAUUGAAUUAUCAUUAUGAUAUUAAAAUCGUAUUUUUUUACGUGUCGACAAAUGUAUAAUAUUACUUAUGUAGAUCGCUUAUUGUAUUCCAUGCAUAACAAUUUUUUUUAGAAAAUUUGUAUUAAAAAUUUACAAGUACCCUCAAUAUUGAAUACUAUAGUUUCAUCCAUAGCAUCGUGUGGAGCAGUAGACCGCAGACGACACGAAAUCUUGUUCUCGUUCUAUCCUGUGCGUAGAACAUUUCUAGAAUCUUCUUAAUAUUCAUUGAAUCUCACCCGUAGAAAGUACACAGCUGGAAUGCUCUCUGCCCUAUAUUUUUGUACUCGUAACAGCGUUGUAAGGUAACAAUCGCGUUAGGUUAACAUUAAGGCUUUAUGUAUUUUCUUAUAUUUAAUGUGAAGUUUGCUCGACACGGUAGACUAUUGCAGAAUGAGACGACCCGGUGCGAGAUUGGAUUAAAUUAUCGAUAUCGAUAAUUUUUUUCCUAAUCUUUGCCGUGAAAUAUAUACGAACUGUAUUAUCUGCUUGAACUAUAGUGUUGUUAUUCGGCAUCGAUUUAUCUACUCUCGCGCCACGUGUCAAAUUCACACAAUAGGUAAAUAUUUUUGUCGCGUAUGGCAAUUGUCUCUCUCUCUUACCGACACAUGUUGUAUUUCGUGUUAGAAUUAAGGCUAAGAAUGUGUUAACUAAUCCUAGGCAGAUAACGCGCUCGCUUCUCGCAAGUAACUUUAUUCAUUAUAAUAUUAAUCGUAUUUUCAUGUUUGUAUGCACGUUCGAUAUUAUUAUUAUUGACUUCUCCCGCACAAUUGACAGUUGAGCUGGCAACACUAAAGGUGUCAGUUCAGCUGCCAAUAUUAGGGAUAUGUGUCGCGAUGUUUUAUGUAUCUAUUUAUUUAUUUAUUACGCCUUAAAGGUGUCGGGUCCUAUGAAACAUUCCACGAGGUGAAACCACAUGUUGAUUUUGUUAUGCGAGUAUAUGUUCCCAACGCCCGCGUCUGUCAGAUUUAAUCUGAAUCAUGUUUGAAAAACUUAAGUCCGUAUUCCAGAGGUCUCGAUGCGUUGUCUAUCAAGAAUGUUGCUGUCUCUUUCAUGCACAGUUGUAUAAUAAAACACUUUAACUAACCACUUGAAUAGAAUAUAUAUUCAAUUAUUUCACUAUAAUCACAACUAUAUGCAAAUAACACUAAAUUAUUUAUAACUAUAGGGCAAUCGGGUGACCAACAGCCAGCACGUCUGAGCUUUCGAAUGCCCCAACAAGAAGUACCUAAUAGCUGAGAUAAAUUCGUAAUAGUUACCCUACUACUAAUCUUAAUAAUACGAAACUACCAACUUCAUAAUAAAGAGACAUCAGUAAGAUUUUAUAUUUAUAUAAUCUAAUAUAUAAAAUUCUCAUGAAAUUUUCAGUGCAUAUUGGGUAGGACUGAGAAGCGGACAACAUCUAUUUUUCAUCCCCCUAAAUGUUAAGGGUGGUCCAUGCCAAUUUUUUUUUUUAAUUUUUUUUAUUUUAUUUGAUUAUGAGUCAGCAUUAAAUACAUAUAACUUCAAAUUUUCACCCAUCUACGAUCAACAGUUACUUUUGUAUCGCGAUUUUAAUAUCGGCAAUACAACGUUUGCUGAGUCAGCUAGUAUUAUAUAAUAUUACAAUUGCUAAAAAUAUACUUAAUGUAAUAACUAAAACAAUAUAAUAUUAACAGGUUACAAAUUAUUCUAUUAAUAUUAUCAAAACUGAAUGUUGGUACUAAUUGUAAUGUGAAAUAACCAUAAUAGUCUCAGUGAUAACUGUACACUUGGAAAAUAAUUACGUUAUUGAGACGCCUUCUGGAAGACGCACUUUAGACUGACGCCAGGGUCGCUCACCAAGCGCUCGUUCCUGAAGCUCCGUACUCCAAGGAGACACUGACAGCAGUGACAUUCUAUCAUCACUUUCGGCUCAUCAGCGGCAAGAGGCAUCAUAUUUAUGUCAGCUCUUGACAAUGACUGCCCUAGCUACCGAUAUGCAGUCGCUUGUCCAUUGACGUAUCGGUGAUCAGAGAACGUAAAUACGUGUAGUAUAUAUUCUAUAUAUUAACAUAUUCGAAAGUGCGUGUUUAAGAACGCAUUCGUACGAGCGCACCCGCACCGAGCGCACGUCCCGUUACUACAGUUUGUUUGGUCCGUUUGCACGCGAAUUUGAGCUUAAUUAACCUCUCGUACCUUAUGCAUUAUUUAACGCACUGUUAUAAUACCCCCUUGAUUUGUUGUUAAGAUGUCUUUAUCACUCGUAGUAAGAUAAUAUAUAUAUUAUUUAAUUAAUUAAUCUUUAAUAUAGGAAGCCUUGUUCGAAUCGCGUUACGCCGCUUUUUAAUAUUAUAACGUUUAUAUAUUGAUAAUGUUGACAGUACGAAAUUAACUGUAACCACUGCCUUUUCCUGAGAAUAUUGUGUUCAAUGUGUGUGUAUGUGUAUGGACGCUGUUAAUAUACAUUCGAGAUUAUCAAUCAUAAUCGUGCGCGGGUCCACGUAAUAUCAACAAAGGAAUCACAUAUAUUAUUAGUGUAAAUUUCGCCGAGACUGAGUCUCGUGCCAGAAUUUGGUCAACAUCUCCUGGGGAUGCCGCCUACUGUAGCGGCGAAACACAUGUCGAAUUGAUUUAAGACGAAUCUUGGCGGAAUUUACUUUCAAGAAGGCUCACGACAUUUGAAUAUUUAUCUAUUUCCACAAAAUAACGCCUUAUUCAAUCAAUUGUUAAAACAACGGUGAUGGUUCCCGCCGUGGGCCCGUGCAGAAGUCUCUCAUGCACAACAAACGCAUUUAAACCGCAGUCACAAAACCUCUUUAUAAUCUCGAUAAUAAUAUCCCCAGUGAACAUUCGUAGUUAUAAUUUGUGCGGUCACUGAAGUCGUAGCGAAAAUAUAUUGUUAUUACUUAUAGGUAAUUUAUGUUAUUGUGUAAACCGCUAGUUGACGUACGAUCUUAAUACGUGUCGUGUGGAAAUAGACGCUUCUGACGUUGAUUUGAAUUCAGAAUAUUGAAUUAGUCUGCAAGCUGUUGGCAGUUGUUUAUGCAAUGCAAAUAAAAAAGUAACAGACGGUAUAAAGCUCUUUUCAGACUACGCUAUAAUAUAAUAGCAUAUAGUUCAUAUCACAACAAUAUCGCUCACCAUGGCUACAUUAUUAUGGACACGUUAACAGUUCUCUGUACGAUAUAUUAUUGGCUUACUCAACGCAAUAAAAUUGAGCGUGUGCUCAGUUCAUGCUGUGCUAUAUUAUGAUGUUCAAAAAGUUUGAAAUCACCACCUUCUCUGAACUUUAUAUCAUUUGAUAUCCAUGCUCUAGAAUUCUUACGUUGUAUAAUAAAACACUUACGAACCACUUGAAUAGAAUAUAUAUUCAAUUAUUUCACUAUAAUCACAACUAUAUACAAGUAACACUAAAUUAUUUAUAACAAUAGGGUAGUUGGGUGACCAACAGCCAGCACGUCUGAGCUUUCGAAUGCCCCAACAAGAAGUGGCCAAUAGCUGAGAUGAAUUAGUAAUAGUUACCCUACUACUAAUCUUAAGAAUACGAAACCACCAACUUCAUAAUAAAGUGACAUCACUAAGAUUUUAUAUUUAUACAAUAUGAACUUUAUAUCAUUUGAUAUUCAUGCUCUAGUAUUCUUUCGUAGCAUUAAUGACAAGAUAGUGUCGAAUUCCGCAUUGUCAUCAUCAAUCGAUGAGAUUUCAAGACUAUCCCGUAAUAAAUCCAUUGUGUCGAUCGUGUGCACACUCUUGAAAGAUCGCAGUCAACUGAGCUUGCUAUAUACUAUAAAUACUAGGGAUUAUAUCGCGUAAUGUGAACGCCGUGCUAUAUAGUAUAGCAUUAGGUCCUUAUUUGCUGUACAAAAUAUCACAAUAGUAUAGCGUAGUCUGAAAACAGCUUAACAUGAUGGGAUGCGAUUUACACAUUUAAGGUUAGUCAAGUAAUAUUUAGUGAGAAGCGUUUAUUUAAUUUAGUUUUACAUGUCGUACUUUUAACAAUAAUGAUUGUAACAUGACACCGUGAGUUUCAGUUGACGAAUUAAAACAAUUAGUUUAUGAUUUUAUUUGGUAUUAAGUGACGGUAAUUUAUUGUAUCUACGAUGGAUAUUUUUUUAUGUUGCAUAGAAAAUAAAUUUUAAGAAAUUA